UAGGAUACAAAAUUGUGUGAUAAAUGGUACAGUUAAGAACCCAAGCAGUGGCCUAACCUUGCUGAGUGACUCUGAAUAACUCCCCUGGGGGUUGGAGGAACUUGGAAGAUGUUCUGUGAGGGAAAUUCCUUCCAGCUUUGAUAUGACAGAUUAGUCCAUCAUCAGCACCAGAGCACUCCAGCACUAGGCUCAGAGAGCCAGCCCCUUUUCUGUGGCUUCCGUGCAUUGUCUUAUGUAGCCCCCACAAUGGCCCUAUGAGACUACUACUAUUGUCAUUGUCCCCACUUUACAGAUGAGGAGACUGAGGUGCAGGGAGAUUAAUACAUCCCAAGGUCACACAGCUGUUACAUAGCGGAGCGGGAUUCAGAUCCCAGCAGUCUGACCACAGAGCCCAGGCCCUUACUCUUGGCUGCACUGCCUCCCUGGUCUAGCCCUUGGUUCUCCCAGCCAGAGAAGAACCUGACCCUGUGAUGGCCUUUAUCAUGCUCAUCUUGUUCCUGUGGAAGCACGUUUCUGUGUUUGCCUGGGAAUGUGGCUGUGCCUCACGUGCUUUGCAUUUAUCCUUCAAAUCCAGCUGGAAGCAUCUGCCUGCUGGGGGGUCCCAAGUCUCCUGUGCUCCCCAAGCAGGAGAGGAUUCAUGUCCUCACUGCAAAACAGCCCGGGAGGUGUGGUCCUAGGGGUCACACCCCUAGGCUGGGCGGACAGGUCUUUCUUUGGGUCUGUGACCUCCCCCGGGACUGGCUAGGACCCUAGUGAAAACUCCCUGUGGCUGCACUGUUUGGGAAGUAAGGUCACGAAGCUCUAUCUCUGCAGACCCCUGAAGAUGCCGGGGCCCUCUUCCACACAGGAGGGUGAAACACCAUUGGACUCCACCCAGAGAGUGCGGCCUUCAAACUCACAGGUGACUGAUAGCAAUGGCAAGAAUUACUGGAUGGAAGGGUAAGUAAAGAAUCCCUUAAACUCCUCCCCCUUGUUUUUAGGAAGUCUUCCAGGAUGGAUGAGAGACUGGGCCUUCACAAAUGGCCAAACCAGUGCACCAGUCUCAGUCCCUAUGGGCCGUUGCCCAGGACACUGGUGCAUUAGGCCUGACACAGGCUGCGAUAGUGAGUGUGAUUUAUAAUAAGAAACAUAUAUUUGGUUUGUGUCCACUGUUCUGGCUCACAGUUCCAAAACCCCUUGCAAUGUCCUAAGUGUAAGAGCAAUGGUAGCACCUUGCCUUAUGGAAUGGUCUUGUCCUCAGUCGCUGGAAUUGCUUCAGAGCCAUGAAGACAAAGUGGGUGGGGUAUUCAAAGCCCCAAGGUAACCUAAGGAUGGAGGCCGGUUGCCCGAAGAACAAGCCUUGGUUAGGGGGUUAUAACUUUGGAUCACGCCCCACAUCUCCCUGCCCAAGGGCGAGGGUCUAGAGGUGGAGCUCAGUCCCCAACAGCCAAUGAUUUAUUCAAUCGUGGCUAUGUGAGGAAGCCUCCACAAGACCCCAAAAGGAUGGGGUUUGGAUCCCUUCAGGGCGGUGAACACAUGGACGUGCUGGAAGGGCCUGGAAGCCCCACGCCCUUUCCCACACCUUGCCGCUUGCAUCUCUUCCAGCCGGCCGUUCCUGAGUCACACCCUGUGAUAAUAAACCGGUGGCCUAGUGAGUAAACUGGUUUCUUGCGUUCUUUCAGCCCCUCUAGCAAAUUAAUCGGACCCAAGGAGGGAGGGGGCCGUGGGAUUUAGAGCCACAGGUCAGAAGCACAGGUGACCGUCUGGACUGUCGACUGGCAUCUGAAGUGGGGCAGUCUCGUGGGACUGAGCCCUGACCCGAUAGGAUCUGAUGCUAUCUCCAGGUAGAUGUUGAGUGCAGUUUGUAGGACGUCCAGCUGGUGUGACGGAACUGGUUGCCAUGUGGAAACCCCUACGUGGGUGUCGGAAGUGGAGCAUGUGGCAACGUAGGGUGCGAAUAAAGGAGAGAUACGCAGGGAGGGCAUGUUUUCCCUCACACAGGCCUGUAGACCCUCCUCUUCCACCCCUACCCUGGCAUCCCAGGCCCGCGGACACCCUCCACGGUUGCAGUGACCGAGGGCAAGACACCUAGCCUCUUUAAGCCUCCUUUUCUUCAGGCGUCGAAGGACAGUUGAUUGAGGCAGCGGACAGCAAACUUUUCUCCCACUAGGAACCCUUCCAAGCCAAUUUUAUACAAGAUGCCAUGGGAGGGGACCCCAGCCACGCAGUGCCAGCAGCCCCCUCCGACUCCCUGAGGAGGCUCCUGACACCCCUCUGGAUCUUACAGAAAUUCUCUGAUUCCAAAUGCCAUUACCCAUGGACAGGGCUGGGGGCAGGACAGGGGAGGAGGGGCAGCUGUGUGGCUGCUCCAGACCUGAGUGCAGCAGGCACAAGGCCGUCCUCCUGGGCAAGCUCCUCAGCCUCCAUUAUCUCAGCCUGGGACAAAGAGGCUGGAGUGGAGAAUCCCAUUGUUGGGCCGCCUAUGGAAAUCUCAUUAAUCUAUUCACCACGGCUCCCACAGGCCUUUUGUCCCAGGCUUUUUGUCUCCUGCUCACAACUGGUGCCCCGGGGGUCUCUGUCCGCCUGGCAGAACUCAAACUGGGCUGUCCCCUCCCUCCCCCCAACUACUGGGUCCUGCCCCUGCCCCUGCCCGUUCGUGCCAACCCCAGUUACUGCAACAGGAGAGGAGAGGGAGGGGCGACGAGGGGAACCGAGGACUGGUCACCUGCCACAGCCUUGCACCCGCCACUCAGGAACCUCUGCCCCAAGUCCAGGCCGGAGAGCAGCCCCUAACACAGCCAGACUGCCAGAACCCUGCCUGGGGAGCCCCCCUGGGUCCCGGCACAGGGCCUAGCUUGGGCAGGGCUCAAUAUGUGUUUAGGGGAUAAGCCAAAGGAGGCCAGAGAGGUGGCUGCCAGACUUCAUGUCGCUAGGGCUGCAGCCUGUUGUCCACAGAUCUGCGGUCUCACGGAGCCAGCAGACACUCUCAUGACACCAGAGGGCCAAACUGGCUGUUAGAGAUGCAAAAUUGGGUCAAACUGUGACCCACCCUCAGGGACUCUAUCCUCUAACAGGAGAGAUAAGGUGAAAGCGGCCUUGGCCAAAAGAAAGAAAGGGAGGGAGGGAAAAAGGGAGGAAAAGAGAAAAGAAUGAAUUCUGGUGGUUCAUAGACAGUUGAGGCUAUCUUUGGUGGGCCGGGGAAUCACGGCAGCAUUUAAAUGUUUUAUUUGUUUUUGAUAGAGCACGAGCAGUGGAGGGGCAGAGAAGGGGACAGAGGAUCCAAAGCCAGCUCUGCACUGACAGCAACAAGCCCAAUGCAGGGCUCAAACCCACGAACCGUGAGGUCGUGACCUGAGCCCAAGUUGGAUGCUCAGCCAACUGAGCCACCCAGGCACCCCUCAGGGCAGCACUUAAAAUGCGUGUGUGAGGAUGGAAGACUUGGGGUCUGUGCAUGAACUUGAGGCCAGUGAGAAGAGGAAACGCUGACAACAUGGGUUCAGCCAUCACUGCCCACAAGGCCCCACCUAAGUAGAUAGUAUUUAUAGAUGACACUGAGUCCCAGGGAGGAGAUGUAGCCUGCCAAGGUCCGAAGGGCCCUCCUCCCUCUGGUUGGUGUUUUCCCACCUCUACAGACAGUGGUCAGGCACGGAUGUAAAUUGGAGAUCAAGGAUCGGCUCUUGAGAUCUGAACUCUCCCUCCCUGUCCCCAAGCUCAAUCUUGCGCUGGAGAAUGGUAAAGAACUUGUAGCUGGUCAGGGCAAGGGGAGGUCCACGGAAAGAUGAGGACUGGAGCACUUGCCAUGAGCUCGAGGAGUGGGAAUGGUCUGGACAGGUAUGUUACUGUCAGGAUGAUUCCCUUUGUGGCUCAGGACAAGUUCCUGUCCUCCCCGUUUACUGUUGGUGAACAUCACAGGCCUCUCUGAAGCCAGAUUUUCUCUCCACGCAGAGGACCUAAAGAAAUCUAGAAAAAAUCAGCACUGCUCAUUCAGGCCUGAGACUGUUGCCCACACAGUUGUACCUGUCAGAAAUGCCCUCCCUCUGCCAACCAGCCCUCUCCCAUCCUCAGGGCCAUGGCAGGGCCUCCACUUCCAUACAUCUUUCCUGGCCACUCCAGUCCUAGGGACACUUUGCCUUCUUGGGAAAUGGCAGCUUUAUCCUUACCAGUUGCUCAGGCCAGAAAACCUGGGACCAUCUGUAACUUCUCUCCCUCACGCCUCAGACCAGCCAAUCAGAUUGGCCCUUGCUUCAAAAUCUAUCCGGAUUGCAACCAUCUCUCACCCGGAUUCCUGCAGCAGCCUCCUAUCCCACCUCCCAUUUCUAGCCUUGUCUCUCCCUUCUCUGCGUUCUCAGAAUAAAAGCCCAUGUCCCUGG